UACAGGGGGUGCAAACGUUGCUCGGAAUUAUUGGGCGUAAAGCGCGCGUAGGCGGUCGCUUAAGUCGGAUGUGAAAGCCCCUGGCUCAACUGGGGAAGUGCACCCGAAACUGAGUGGCUUGAGUACUAAAGAGGGUCGCGGAAUUCCCGGUGUAGAGGUGAAAUUCGUAGAUAUCGGGAGGAACACCGGUGGCGAAGGCGGCGACCUGGGUAGAUACUGACGCUGAGGCGCGAAAGCGUGGGGAGCAAACAGG
rnacentral:rRNA from 1 species